rnacentral:tRNA from 1 species
GGUUGUGGCUCAGUGGUAGAGUGCUCAUCUGGGACACGCGGGACCCUGGGUUCAAUCCUCAGCACCA